rnacentral:pre_miRNA from 1 species
UUCCCAAUCACCUGGUGAACUUGUUAAAACAUAGAGCUGGGUUCAUCUUAUAUAGUCUGAUUCAGUGGGUCUGGGGGAGAUGUGAAAAUUUGCAAUUCUAACAUGUUCCCAGGUGAUGCUGAU